rnacentral:rRNA from 1 species
AUGGUCCUACGGGGCGCAGCAGUAGGGAAUUUUCGUCAAUGGGCGCAAGCCUGGACGAGCGAUGCCGCGUGAGUGAAGAAGGCCUUCGGGCCGUAAAGCUCUGUUGCGGGGGAAAAAAGGCAGCAUCAGGAAAUGGGUGCUGACUGAUGGUGCCCCGCCAGAAAGUCACGGCUAACUACGUGCCAGCAGCCGCGGUAAUACGUAGGUGGCGAGCGUUAUCCGGAAUGAUUGGGCGUAAAGGGUGCGCAGGCGGUCCUGCAAGUCUGGAGUGAAACGCAUGAGCUCAACUCAUGCAUGGGUUUGGG